rnacentral:rRNA from 1 species
GUAGCGGUGAAAUGCGUAGAGAUCUGGAGGAAUACCGGUGGCGAAGGCGGCCCCCUGGACGAAGACUGACGCUCAGGUGCGAAAGCGUGGGGAGCAAACAGGAUUAGAUACCCUGGUAGUCCACGCCGUAAACGAUGUCGACUUGGAGGUUGUGCCCUUGAGGCGUGGCUUCCGGAGCUAA